CCGAACUGACAACACCGGUUCUUAUCCGAUCACCAAAGUUAAGCAUCGUCGGAUGCGGUCAGUACACGGGAGGGUAACAUGCUGGGAACACUGCGGGCCGUU